GACUAUUUCUUUCGCUUAUGUCAUAAAGUUGUUUUAUUUCGAAAACUACGUCUAAAACCACUAUCAUAGCUCCAAAAAGGGCGUCCUUUAAUCUUUUUUAAUUUUCUAACUUUAUGCUUUUUAUUUUUUAAUCAAAAAUAUAUUUAUAGAUCUUGUAUUGUACUCUUAGGUGGUUCUAAAACUUGAAAAUGUGUAAUUUUGAAAACAUAUCCCACAAAGUAGUUUUGAUUUUUCAAUUCCCGAGAAUGUUCCAGAAUCUUGUUAUAAUAAAUAGGCCAUUGACUCUCAGGCGCUUCAGAAUGAUUGAUACAUAGUCGGGAAUGCUUUCAUAAAAAAAAAAACAAAUAAUUCGAAAUCCUUUCACACGAAUUGAAGAAACCUGAUGAAUGGCUUUUGAAUCGUUGAUGAAUCUUAUAGCAAACAUAGAACAGUUACAAGACAUCAGAUGAGUAUAAGUGGUUAAACUUAGAAUAUCCCUAGCUAGCAAAUAUUGAGGGAUUAGAAGGCCACAGUUGGAAUUAUUUAGUUAACUGAUUAAUUGAUUGAACAACUGAUUUCUUGCUUGGGAUUAAAUGAUUAACUUUAAACAAAUUGUUAGUGCAAGCAGUGGUUUAAAAAUAAUUUCAAGGGCCUUGUAGGCCUGCUUCAA